AUUGAACGCUGGCGGCAGGCCUAACACAUGCAAGUCGAGCGGAUGAAGGGAGCUUGCUCCUGGAUUCAGCGGCGGACGGGUGAGUAAUGCCUAGGAAUCUGCCUGGUAGUGGGGGAUAACGUCCGGAAACGGGCGCUAAUACCGCAUACGUCCUGAGGGAGAAAGUGGGGGAUCUUCGGACCUCACGCUAUCAGAUGAGCCUAGGUCGGACUAGCUAGUUGGUGGGGUAAAGGCCUACCAAGGCGACGAUCCGUAACUGGUCUGAGAGGAUGAUCAGUCACACUGGAACUGAGACACGGUCCAGACUCCUACGGGAGGCAGCAGUGGGGAAUAUUGGACAAUGGGCGAAAGCCUGAUCCAGCCAUGCCGCGUGUGUGGAGAAGGUCUUCGGAUUGUAAAGCACUUUAAGUUGGGAGGAAGGGCAGUAAGUUAAUACCUUGCUGUUUUGACGUUACCAACAGAAUAAGCACCGGCUAACUUCGUG
rnacentral:rRNA from 1 species